GGCCUGUUAGCUCAGCUGGUUAGAGCGUGGUGCUAAUACGCCAAGUCGUGGGUUCGAUCCCCACAUGGGCCA
rnacentral:tRNA from 1 species